CAAAACAGUGAGUGUUUUGUUGUUUUUGAUUCUAUUGAUCUCUCACUGUCAGGUUGCACUGCCGAUCUGUUCACAAUCAUAACUAACUAAUACCUUAGCUUUGGCCAAUCUCAUGUUGCAAUUUUGCUUCAAACACAACAUUCAGGGAUUCUUAUGAAAACAGCAGCAUUUCUGAAAGAUCCUGGAACGGCCACAAUCUCAAGAGGUAGUACGAUUCUACCCGUCGUCAUAUUUCGUCCGCCAAGCCAUUGCGCGGAGAUGUUGGCUCCAUGCCCAUUUCAACACAGGCUCACCCGCGCUCGCUCGCGCGUCGUCGCUUGUCUUCCAUGCCACCAGCCAGCGCUGCGCGCUGCCUGUCGCGCAUGCGCUGUUCUUGUUGGCUUCGCUUUGGCUGCUGUAACGGUCGUUUCUCGUCGCCGCGUGUAGUUCGCGUAAUUGCGAGCGUUCCAGCAAGUCUAAAGCGUUUUAGAGGCUUUGUAUUGUUGUUCUCACCUGGUGCUGUCGUUCUUGCAACCCGUCUGAUAUUGCAACUGUCUGUAAGUGGAAGCGUUUCUUCUAACCGCGAGCAAACCAGUCGGUCUCGUUUGACAUGUCAAAGAGUGAAGACGCUACCUUGCAUGUGAAGCCAAAUCGUUCUUCGCCUUCAGGAUUAUUGCCGUUUCAGGGAUCUGCGCAACGACAGGGAGAUAGAACGCCAAGUGAAGUCGACUGUGUACUUUGUGCAGACGGUUCAGCGUGUAUGACGCAGCGGCCUUCAGCAAGAGAAACUCAAGCACCGUGUUCAAAUGCAGUGGGGACUCUUGCUGGCCAUGACAACGCUUAGAAGUGCUUUUUCGGAAGAAGGACAAGUUGGACCGGAAAUGAGGACCUAGGUGUGCUCUUUUGCGCUGUUGUUCACCGUUCGAUCAUUACCAGUUUUUGUGCCCCCGUGAGUUCAACGCUUAGGUAUGUUGAUGAUAAAUGGAUAUGCGUUAAAAGGUACGUACUCCGGAGUGGUGAAUUGUUCUGGUGAAGUGAUUCGUUGCUGCUAUCUCCUGUUUCGUGAGGGUUCUUGUCGGUACUCAUAUACCGCAGGCAUGAGGGGCUUUCUUUGCAGAACAUUUCAGUAAACCAAGACUGCAGCAUUUUCAAGAUUGCCAUAACCAGCAUCAAUGCAGCUCUCAUGUCAACAUCAGCAUCAAGACAGCUCUGAUGUGAGCAUCAGCCAGCGCAGCUCUGAUGUUAACAUCAUCAGAGCAGCUGUGAUGUUAACAUCAGACCUGAUGUCGCUUUUUUUUUCAAUAGGGAUGCUUCUCCUUGACCAUGUUUUUUUUUUGCUUAUUGACGUUUUUGUGAAGGAACGCUGAAUAUGCGCACACCAUUGACUGUCAGCUCUAGUCCCGGUCAGCUGUCAUUUUUUACAGUUUUCGUUGUAGUAAUUGCUAGUCAUUUGCACCAAAGGCGCUGGAUGUGAACUAUUUUCUCUUUCCUGGACUUGCAUUUCUCCCAGUCGUUGGCUUUGUCAUUUUUUCAUAAUUUAAAUUUUCUCUUGGUAACUCUUGAGUUUCGUAAUCCCUACGCUGUGCAUUUUACCAUUUUUGAUAAAGCUCAUUCCACGUACCGUGCACAUACUAUUUUGUGCUGAAGUGCAGCAAUUGUUUCGUUACGUCUAAUGUUACAUGCCAUUCAUUUUUGUGUCUGGGCAGUACUGAAGCGUGAGCAGAUAGGCAGACUGCCUAUUACUGCAUAACUUCGUUUUCUUUGAGGCACCACCACUUGGACAGGCAGACCGCCUCUUGCUGUAUACUUUUUCUUUCUUUUGAGACACUGUUGACGUGCGAGUGGUUACGCAGGCAGGCUGCAUAUUACUGUAUACCAUUUCCCACCAUGCAGCAAUUUUACCGUUACGUCUAAUAUUAAUGCUACAAGCCGUUCAUUUCUUCCAGGGCCAUUGCCGAAGUGCAAGUGGUUAGGCAGACUGCCUACUACUGCAUACCUUUUUUGUUUCCUUUCAGAGACCACCUCUUACUGUGUACGUUCCCCCCCCCUUUUGAGACACCAUUGAAGGGCCAGUGGUUACGCAGGCAGGCUGGAUAUUACGGUAGACCAUUUCCACCCUUUUCUUUUCAGGCUACAUUGGCAAUGACAGUAGUUAUGCGGACAUGCUGCAUAUUUCUGUAUACCCCUCUUUUUUUGUUUUUCAUUUCAGACACAAUUGGCAUGCAUUGGAUGAUGCAGGCAGACUGCUUAGUGUACACCACUCGUCGUUUAGUCUAUUGAGGUGCUCCAAGUGUUGUGUCAGUCUAUUUCCUCUCCGAAAAUAAAAUGUUGGGCUCUACA